rnacentral:tRNA from 1 species
GGGCAUAUAGCUCAGUGGCAGAGCACAUGCUUAGCAUACAUGAGGUUCCAAGUUCAAUCCCCAGUACCUCCA